rnacentral:lncRNA from 1 species
AAUUUUUAUUCAUUAUGUGUAUUAAUACUACACCUCCACUAUCUCCUCAUUAAUUUUCCACACUUGUAUAAUCUUUUCCACAUUCUCAAGAAAUUAAUGUCAUGUUUGAAACACUCUUUGAUUUUACUUAAUCAUAUCAUAUAAAUGGUGGCAUUGUAUACAUUAUGAAGAGACUUUGGCCCACUUGGAAGAAACAAAAAAAAAUUCAUCUCUAAUUGUCUCUAUAUUUCUAUUGGUUUUAUCUUUUAGUAUUAGUUUUAGCUUCAUUUUAUAACACUAAUCACUUUAUUACUCAUAUAUUCUUUUGUUGGUUACACGAACAAAAUGUAAUGUGUACAAAUUCUU